rnacentral:rRNA from 1 species
GGGGAAUCUUGCGCAACGGACGAAAGUCUGACGCAGCGACGCCGCGUGAGUGAUGAAGGCCUUCGGGUUGUAAAGCUCUGUGGGGAGAGACGAAUAAGGUGCAGUUAAUAUCUGCAUCGAUGACGGUACCUCCUUAGCAAGCACCGGCUAACUCUGUGCCAGCAGCCGCGGUAAGACAGAGGGUGCAAACGUUGUUCGGAAUCACUGGGCGUAAAGCGUGUGUAGGCUGUCAGAUAAGUCGGAUGUGAAAGCCCCGGGCUCAACCUGGGAAGUGCAUUCGAUACUGUUUGACUUGAGUACUGGAGAGGUUGGUGGAAUUCUCGGUGUAGAGGUGAAAUUCGUAGAUAUCGGGAAGAACAGCUGUGGCGAAGGCGGCCAACUGGACAGAUACUGACGCUGAGACACGAAAGCGUGGGGAGCAAAC